CCAGAUGGAGGUCCGUAGUCAGUUAGGAGCAGCAACUACAUGGAAAAGAAUAUGACCAGGGUGUGCACUAGUCUAAUCUCUCUGGGGAGAGAGUUCCAGAGCCGGGCGGCCACCACCGAGAAGGCCCUCUCCAUUGUCCCCACCAACCGUGCUUGUGACAGUGGUGGAAGCAAGAGGAGAGUCUCCCCGGCAGAUCUUAGAGCCCGCGCUGGUUCGUAGGGAGAGAUACGAUCACAAAGGUAAGCAGGAUCUGAACUGUUUAGGGCUUUGUAGGUCAUAA
rnacentral:lncRNA from 11 species